rnacentral:rRNA from 1 species
UACGUAGGGUGCGAGCGUUGUCCGGAAUUAUUGGGCGUAAAGGGCUCGUAGGCGGUCUGUCGCGUCGGGAGUGAAAACUCAGGGCUUAACCCUGAGCCUGCUUCCGAUACGGGCAGACUAGAGGUAUGCAGGGGAGAACGGAAUUCCCGGUGUAGUGGUGAAAUGCGUAGAUAUCGGGAGGAACACCAGUGGCGAAGGCGACUUCCUGGCCUGUUCUUGACGCUGAGGCGCGAAAGCUAGGGGAGCAAACGGG